UUAAACUAGGGAUUAGAUACCCUAUUAUUAAAAUUUAAAUUUAAAAUACUAAAAUAGUAAUUAAUUAUUUAUUGAAACUUAAAUAAUUUGGCGGUAUUUUAGUUCAUUUAGAGGAAUCUGUUUAAUAAUUGAUAAUCCACGAAUAAAUUUACUUAAUUUUUUUUAUUUUGUAUAUCGUUGUUAAAAAAAUAUUUUUUAAUAAUUAAUAAUAUUUAAAAAUUUAAAUAUAAAAUUAAAUCAGAUCAAGAUGCAGAUUAUAAUUAAGAAUAUAAUGGAUUACAAUAAAUUUAUUUAAAUGAAUAUUAAAUUGUAAUAUUUAAUUGAAGGUGGAUUUAAAUGUAA
rnacentral:rRNA from 1 species